rnacentral:lncRNA from 1 species
UAUCUACCCAUCUAUUUACUAUCUACCUAUCUAUUUACUAUCUAUUUUUUUCUAUUUGUUUUUUUUGUUUUUCAGAUAUGUUCCAUACUAAACGAAAUAAGCAAAACCAUCCGAGAAAUACAAAAUGCGAAAAACUUUCUAUCGUUGCACUUUUUUCUUUUAAAGGAUGAGGAUGAUGCAGUAAGUAUACACAUACGUCCAUACAUACGUCCAUUCAUACGUCCAUUCAUACGUCCAUUCAUACGUCCAUUCAUACGUCCAUACAUAUGCGAACAUACUUAUUGUGCAUUCCUUUCCUUACUCUUGUAUAGCUUUUUUCAGUCAUGCACAUAAUCGAUUUUUUUAAAAGCAAGAAUAAAUUGGUAGAAACGUUACAAAAUAUAAAAGACAAAAUUUAUGAAGAAUGUAUUAACGAUAUCAUUAGAAAGAAAAUUGACAACUAUAUUUUAUUUUGCAAACAAAAAAAACAAAAAUAUGAAGUUAAAAAUGUUUUAAAGUUUUUGAAUAUAAACAACUUAACAGAUGAUUUAUAUUUUAAUUAUAAUUAUAACGACUUAAUAAAAGUUUUCAAAAAAAAAGUGGAAGAGAUAAAGAAUGAUAAAAUGGGUACUUCUAUUAUUUCUAGUUCCUUAUUGUCAAGUAACAUGGAUACAUCACUUUUUAACAAAAUGGAAGAAUCGAUGGAUGUUAAUAAAAAUGAUUAUACAGGUACUAAUACUGGAGAUGGUACUAUUAUUGGCUCAGAUGCUAAUACCAGUGCUGGUGCCGAUAUCGAUGCUGACGAAAUAGACAUAGAUAAUAAUGACAAUUUAAAAGAAUUAAAAAAAACAUAUAAAGAGUUACAAAAUUUCAAUGAAUAUAUUAUUCAAUUUAUUGAAUAUGAACCAAAAUUAUAUUAUUUUAAUGAUAAUAAUAAUAAUGAUAAUAAUGAUACUUAUAUAAAAAGUAACACAGAUAUAAAAUAUGAGAAAAAUAUAAUCGAACAACAAGAAAAAGAACAAAAACAAAAGAAAAUGUAUAAUGAAGAAGUUAUAGCUAUGCGAAAGGAUAUUGAUAAAUAUAUAGAAAAAUAUAAAAGUAAACAUUCAAAUUUAGACGAACUUAAAAAUGAAUUUAUAGAUCAAGCAGAUAAGAAUUUUAAUAAAUUUUUGAAUAGUUUUUCACUUAGUGAAAAUAUAAAUGAGCAAAGAGAUAAAAAUGAAAUAAAUAUAACAAAUAAAUUAAACAAAAUAGACAAUAAUACGGUUACACAAAAAGAAGAGAAAAAUAUAAUGUCACAUUCUAAUGAAAUAAACAAAUUCCAAUUAAAAAAAUUAAAUACAAGUGAAGAAGAUUUAGAAAUAACUAGUGAUAUAAUUUAUGAACGGUUAAGAAAAAAAUUGUUAUAUUUUAUUCAAAAGAUGGAGUAUAUAAAAUUUAAGUACCAAAAUGACAUAAUAAAUGAAAUGUACCCAUUAAAUAAAAGUGAAAAAACAGUUUUAGACUUGUUAAAAUAUGGGUAUAAAACUGUUGUUUCACCAGAUGUUGAUAACUCCAUAUUCCAAAAAUAUAAUGAAAACGAUCGUGAUGCUGAUCAUGGUACUGGUCAUGGCACUGAUCAUGGCACUGAUCAUGGUACUGGUCAUGGCACUGAUCAUGGCACUGAUCAUGGCACUGAUCAUGGUACUGAUCGCUAUGAGCACAUGCACGAAAAAAAUAAAAUAACAAACGUUUCUAGUUAUACCAGAAAAAAAUAUUUUGACUUCAAGUGUCUAAAGUGUGAUUAUCACAUUUUUAAUUCAGGUGAUGAUUUGUAUGAACAGAUGAAGGAAUGUCCCCAGUGUAAAAGUCAAAUUUCACGUGACUAGUUUGUCCUGCUUAUUUACUCCUUUCCUUACAUUUGCCCUUUUUUGCUUCGUUUUUUUUUUUUUACUUCGUUUUUUUUUUUUUGCUUCGUUUUUUUUUUUUUGCUUCGUUUUUUUUUUUUUACUUCGUUUUUUUUUUUUUUGUUUCGUUUUUUUUUUUUUGUUUCGCUUUUUUUUUUUUUUUGUUUCGCUUUUUUUUUGGGCACAAUUCUUAUUUAAUUUACAAUUUCACUUUUGAAUAACAAAAACUGAAUGUCGUCAUAAAUGGCGAACGUACCAGAUACAUGUAUACGUGUACAUCCCAACCAUCCAAUAAAUCCAUAAAAACAACUUACCCGACUUGUUAA